CGAGUGGCGAACGGGUGAGUAAUGCCUCGGAACGUGCCCGGUCGUGGGGGAUAACUACUCGAAAGAUUACGCUAAUACCGCAUACGACCUGAGGGUGAAAGCGGGGGACCGUCAGGCCUCGCGCGAUAGGAUCAGCCGAUGUCUGAUUAGCUAGUUGGUGGGGUAAAGGCCCACCAAGGCGACGAUCCGUAACUGGUCUGAGAGGACGAUCAGCCACACUGGAACUGAGACACGGCCCAGACUCCUACGGGAGGCAGCAGUGGGGAAUUUUGGACAAUGGGGGCAACCCUGAUCCAGCCAUGCCGCGUGUGUGAAGAAGGCCUUCGGAUUGUAAAGCACUUUUGUCCGGAAAGAAAGCCCUUGCCCUAAUACUGUGGGGGGAUGACGGUACCGGAAGAAUAAGCACCGGCUAACUAUGUGCCAGCAGCCGCGGUAAUACGUAGGGUGCGAGCGUUAAUCGGAAUUACUGGGCGUAAAGCGUGCGCAGGCGGUUUUGUAAGACAGGAUGUGAAAUCCCCGAGCUCAAC
rnacentral:rRNA from 1 species